rnacentral:misc_RNA from 1 species
UAUUGAAUUGCAGUAACGCUGAUGCUUUGGCCAAGGAGGUUUAAUAAACCAAGCCUUUAGGAGGUUUAAUAAACCUCCUUGGCUUAGGCGACAAAAGUUAAUAAUGAAAGUUAACAACUGGCUUCGAUUUUCUCUGUAAAACAAGAAUUUUUCGAGCAUAUAAUAAAUGGUAGGAGAAUAUAAAAGAAGCAACAGAUGUGUCAGGAAUGGAAAAGUUUACAAAGCAUACAACAGUUAUAAUAAAGAGGAUCUUGAAAAGGCUGUUUAUUUAGUGCAAAGCAAAACACUUACUUUUUCUAAAGCUUCAAACAAAUAUAAAAUUCCAAUUACCACUUUGAGUAGAAAGUAUAAAAUGAAAAAUGGUCAUAAAACUGCAGAUCGACCAAAGAUGUUUAGUGAUGAGGAGAAAAAAAGUUUUGUUUACAACCUAAAAAUUACCAAUCAAGAUAUGCAUUACCAAAAUCUACAGCCCCUGAAAAUUAUAUAUCAAUAAAAAUAUGAAUAUAAUAUAGAUAAUAUUGGCAUAGCAACAGUAUAACACCUCCAUUAUAAGAGUUUUCUUUCAAAGAGCACUGUGUUAAAAAUAGAUUCGUGCAAAAAAAAAUUAUCACCAUAACAGAUACGAUUGAGCUAACAAUUUAAACAUGCGACAUUGUUCAACGAAGUCAUAUAUAAAACUUUGGUGGAAUUAAAGUUUUCAUAAGAUUUAAAAUGAACGAAAUUAAUUACAAUAAUUUUUUACUCUAAAUGUAUUCAUAUCUUACAACAUAAAUAUUUUAAUGUACAAAACGUUUUGAAGGAAAAUAAAUAAUUACGGUUUGUCUUUUUUCA